ensembl:lncRNA
AUGUCUGCGUUAAACAUGACAGAGAUUUGUCUGUCCGUGAGGGCUCUGGGGGCACUGGAGUGUGAGGCCCUUGAAAACCGGACUCUCCGCUGUUCUCAGAGGAAGAAGUACUUUGGGAUGCUCCUACUAGAAAUUUCGAAGUGGGACCUUCAGUGUAUCAUUUGGGGAGGCACACAGAUUUGGAGGUCAAGCACAGAUGCCCUCCAUAGAAGCACAGGGCCAGGGCCUGCUGAGGGUUGUAGUGCCCGAGAACCUCCUUGGCCUCUCAAACAUCAAAGUGCCCAGGAAUCGAUACCUGUGCUCCGCCAGUAUGUCUACUGAACCAGAGCCAAUAUCAUCAGUGGAUUCUUUACUUUCUGAGCCGCCAGAGAAGCCCUUUUCUUCAUGGAAAGACCGAAGACAAGGAAGCAAAAAAAGAAAAGAAAAAAAAAACUCCCAUUUAACUCAAUGAUAUCUUUAGCUUUAAAAAUCAUAAUGAUAAAAUCCUAUAUUUCCCAUUUACGAAGCAUCCAUGAUGUACCAAGUAUUGUGCAGUAAUCUUCACACACACUGACUUACAUGCUCAAGAUCCCCUUACAGAACAGAGAGUGCCCUCAUUUUACAGAUGACCUGGGUUCCGACUAUUAAGUGAUAAGACUGGGAUUCAAACCUGGAUCAGGUUAUCCUCAUAAAUAUCUGGAUAGAAGAUGGAGUCAAGGUCAGAUGAUUCUGAGGAUGGACUAAACCAUCUUAUGUGCUACACGUGUUUCUAGGGCUUAAGACUGAGCUGGGAGUAUGAUAGGAUGUUGAUGGACAAUUGCACAGCUUCACUGAGUUCCAUGGUACCAAGGGGACAGUAGCUAAUAUGCAGUGUUUAGUAGGUGCUGGUCAUCAUUCUACGCUCCUAAGUGCAUAAUUAUGCAAUGAAUCCCUGCUGUGAAUUUAUGAGCUAUGUACUCUUAUGAUCCCCAUUACGCCUGCUUAGGUAGCCAGCAGGCUCUUCAUUCAGGGCUCCAGAUCUUGAUGUGAGAGUGGAAGCACACUGAAAUGUCAGGAGAGUUAAAACAAUAGCCUUUUCUCUUAACUGUCCGUGUAAAAUUCCGUUUGUUGUAACACUGGUUAAUAAAAUCUAAGAUAACAGUCUGGAAUAUGUGUUUUGAAUUUCACAUUUGUUUGUUUUAAUUACAAGGGCAAUUUUUCUUCAAACUACAACAUGUUUUUAAAUGAAUUUUUGAAUCCAAACCUCUUCAAUGGAAGGGCAUGGAAAGUCAGAAAAUCCUUAUUCUUUGAGCAAGUCGGGUAAAUGAGGAGAAAUCUAAGGGAAGGCGCCACUGAACAGAGGGAACUGUUGCUAUCAACGGAUCUCAGAGAACACAGGCCUUUAAUUGCAGUGAAAGGAGCAACACUCCAAGUGCUCUUGAUAAAAACUGAUUGUGUCUCUGAAUUCCACGGUAAAGCUCCCCACAGGCUGUCUGACAGAGACUCAGCAGCCAGCAGCAGUAGAUUUAACAAUGCCAUAAAUGUAACAAUGAAGUUAUCAAUUUAUAUCAAAUAACAUAUGGUUUAGAAUAGAACAUCACUGAAAAAAAUAACCACGAACAUCUAUCUUCCCCCCAAAACAGAUAACGUAUGACUAUUAUAAAAUUAUUUACAGUUUUAUUACUAGUCCAGCCAUAUAUGUCCCUUUAGGAAAAAUUUAAAAAUUGAAACAAGAAUAAUUUUUUUAAUUGUCUGAUGAUUAUUCCUAUGACUCAGAAAACAAGCACUGGUUGUUGUUUUU